AUUGAACGCUGGCGGUAUGCCUUACACAUGCAAGUCGAACGGUAGAGGGGCAACCCUUGAGAGUGGCGAACGGGUGAGUAAUACAUCGGAACGUGCCCAGUCGUGGGGGAUAACGUAGCGAAAGCUACGCUAAUACCGCAUACGACCUGAGGGUGAAAGCGGGGGAUCGCAAGACCUCGCGCGAUUGGAGCGGCCGAUGGCAGAUUAGGUAGUUGGUGGGGUAAAGGCCUACCAAGCCUGCGAUCUGUAGCUGGUCUGAGAGGACGACCAGCCACACUGGGACUGAGACACGGCCCAGACUCCUACGGGAGGCAGCAGUGGGGAAUUUUGGACAAUGGGCGAAAGCCUGAUCCAGCCAUACCGCGUGCGGGAAGAAGGCCUUCGGGUUGUAAACGCUUUGUCAGGGAAGAAAGUACUUCUGGGC
rnacentral:rRNA from 1 species